UACGUAGGGUGCAAGCGUUAAUCGGAAUUACUGGGCGUAAAGAGCUCGUAGGCGGUUUGUCACGUCUGCUGUGAAAACUCGGGGCUUAACUCCGGGCCUGCAGUGGGUACGGGCAGACUAGAGUGCGGUAGGGGAGACUGGAAUUCCUGGUGUAGCGGUGAAAUGCGCAGAUAUCAGGAGGAACACCGGUGGCGAAGGCGGGUCUCUGGGCCGUAACUGACGCUGAGGAGCGAAAGCGUGGAGAGCAAACAGG
rnacentral:rRNA from 1 species